AGAGUUUGAUUCUGGCUCAGGAUGAACGCUAGCGGCAGGCUUAACACAUGCAAGUCGAGGGGCAGCGGGAUGUAGCAAUACAUUGCCGGCGACCGGCGGAUGGGUGCGUAACGCGUAUGCAACCUACCUUAUACAGGGGAAUAACCUUUCAAAAGGGAGACUAACACCCCAUAGUAUUGAUUUAAGGCAUCUUAGAUUAAUUAAAUAUUUAUAGGUAUAAGAUGGGCAUGCGUAUGAUUAGCUAGUUGGUAAGGUAACGGCUUACCAAGGCGACGAUCAUUAGGGGUUCUGAGAGGAAGGUCCCCCACACUGGUACUGAGACACGGACCAGACUCCUACGGGAGGCAGCAGUGAGGAAUGUUGGUCAAUGGGCGCAAGCCUGAACCAGCCAUGCCGCGUGCAGGAAAGACGGCCUUAUGGGUUGUAAACUGCUUUUACAUAAGACUAACCGUAUAUUUGCGAAUAUACCUGAAUGUAUUAUGAGAAUAAGGAUCGGCUAACUCCGUGCCAGCAGCGGC
rnacentral:rRNA from 1 species